CUGGUUUAUCUUCGUAGUAUAUUUCAAACAUUCUGUGGGGAGAUUUUCAGAUAUUUGAUGAAGUGACACGGAGUGAUGCCAAACAGAACACCAACAAUAAAAAAAUAGUGUUCACUUUUGGUGUGGCCGUCAUUGCAAUAUACGUUUAUUAUUGUGGAUGUAAAAAUAAACACCAAAGAACAGGUAACCGAAUUGAAAUAAUUUUGUGCGACACUAUUACGUGCGGGCUGUUUGUGUCUUUUGUACCGUCAUUGUUUUUCUUUUUCGAUUACGACGGAAGAGCGUAUACUGAACAUUACAAAUAACCAAAAGGUUGACUCGAGCAUGAGCUACCUAGCUGGCUAGUGGCUAGCAACCGCCGAACCGUGAAGCGCGUGCCACAGCUAGAAAUGGGGGUGCGCGCGCAUCAUCAUCAUCAUCAGCGGCAAGACCAUCAUCAUCAGCAGCACCAUAAGAUUUUGCUUUCCUUUUACCUCGUCGUCACGGAAGGGACCCGUUCCGCCUAGGCGAGAGGCGACUCGGCAUGACCUGCGUCAGUCAACGCGAGUAUUGACGAAACAAACAAACGAUCGUCUUCUGCAGCUUGACAGUCGGAAAGCGGCCAUGCAGCAGCACUCCGCCAAUCACAGCGCGAGAUAACACGGCACUUCCGUGUACGUCAUGUAACGUUUAUAUUACGUAAGUGAGGAUGGUGCAAACUACGGAAGUUCGACAAAGAUAAACAUUCUUUUUAAGCAUGUUGUACGGUGUUUU